rnacentral:lncRNA from 1 species
UUUCCUGGAACUUUGCCGGUUGUCACCAAGGGCAACCACUUCAGAAGAACGAGGUGGGGAGGGGGAAGCGCCCGUUGCCUUCAUGCAGGCAUGCAGUGUGGCACAACAGCGUCCUUGCCGCCAGACAAUGCAUCUAGAAGUUGAGCUUUCUGACACAGCUCGGAUGGUUGGAUGCUCUAGUUGAGCGAUGUCGUUGAUUAAUUGGAGGGAGAGGCUUUGCUGCUUUUUGCGCCGGUAGUCUUUCCUGCUGCUCGGCCCAGAGAAGGUCCACUGGAAUGACCGAGGAUCAAAACACCAAACUACUCCCGGCCAAAGCAAGCACCCUCCGAAUGCGUUUCAAACUGCUAGACCAAUCAACCAUGGUCCGCAUGAGGUGGCUGUGGGACAAUGCAUGUAGCGCCUCAUCUGCCAGGAAUUGCUUGGCCCUCCUCGGCUCCUAAGUUUUGUCUAAACCCACUUUGAGCCGGCUGACACUUAUGAUGAGGUUCUAGUCACCAUCAAAGGUGAGUGGCCAGCACCGGCUCAAAGAUUUUGCAGACUGUUCGCAUUAAAGAAAUUGGCCGGAGGGCCUGGAAACUUGUGGGUGGCUUCCAAGCUUUUGGAAUUGGCACAACCACGCACGUGUCCCCACUCAUAUGGAAUGGUACACUUUUGGCCCAUACCAUAUGGGCCAAAGGUACUACUGGGCCAAGGUACCAUAGAUCUGCAUAAUUUUUGCUUGGUUUUACCUCGUUCAUAACCUGCAGCAGUGAACCAACUCUGUCUCCUUCCAUAUUCCUGAAGAGCUCAUACAGUAGAUUGUCGUAACCAGGGGAUGAAUGCCUCCUCAUCCUGUCAGUGGCUGCGAUGAGCUCAGCUUGUGUAAAUGGCGUGUUGAGACCUGAUGUGUUUUUACACCAUCCAUCGAAGGAGCAACAGCUGGAAGCUGCUGGUGUUUUAGAAAGAAACUCACAGCCUCUUACUUUGCAAACUCCUCCAGAGUCGGGUUGAGUGCCAGUUGAAUGCUUGCCGAUGGAUCAGCUUGAUGGUUUCAAGCUCCAUGGCCUGAAAAGUCUGCCGUAAGGCUUUGUUUCCAGCCCUGGAUCCAAGGUAGUAGCAGCAGAAACAUUUACAAGCUCCUGAGAUGACGGGGUUCGAGUCUCACACUGGGAUCAACCGUUUGGUUCCAUCGUUAAAAAAAAUAGUCUAAUUUGUAUUAUAACUUGUUUAUUACAAGCUCUAGUUAUUUUAGCAUGUGUGCCUCUGUCAUAAAGGCAAUUCUGUGGAAAUGGUUUAUACUAAUUAACGUAUCUCCCCUUUUUCUAUAAGGUUUUGCACGCGUUUUAUGAAACGCCCCCUAUAAAGCUUUGCGAAUGCCUUGGUUGUAAGAGCCAGCAGUGUAUUGUGAUUACACAUUGCACAGGAUAAAUCGUACACAUCGUUGUUUUAUAGCAUUUAAUCAAUUGCUUCAAUUCACACCAAUUCCAAUGUGUGUUUGAUCUGCAUAAUUUUUGCUUGGUUAUCCCCUCCAUUAUCUUAGUAUACUUCUGGAAAACUAAACCUAAAUUGAGUUAUUGAACAUCCACUAAACUCAUGACAGGCUCCCUCCAGUUUAGCUGAACAAAAAAGCUGGGCUAUAUAUUUCCUUUGCUUCUCUUCCCACACCUCGUCUACUUAUCAUUAGUCAUUUUGCCUAGAUUUCAAGCCUGCCUGUGCAUGUCCUUAAUGGGAACACCGUGGUUGGUUUACAAGUGGGUAACUGAAACUUCUACUGGCAAAGUGACUGAGGAAUUACAUCACUGGCGCUCAGUGUGUGAUUCACAUGCCUACAUUCUGGUUUUCAGCUUCCGUGGUGACAUAGCAGGCAGGCUUUCUAGGUCCUCUGACUAAUCUGUGUACUCGCCACUGACUCGCAAAAGGUGUAUAACAGCUACAGAAAGGGCUGGGUGUCUCUUGCGGCACCACAUAUUCUGAGGAGUAAACGCGACGUACCUGAAAGGAAAGUUGAGUUGAUAUGGACACCGGCUCACUCUGGACUGGAGGGCAACGAACUUGCCCACCAGUUCGCCCGAGAGAUGGAGCACCGGGUAGAGGAAGGUGAGCCACAGUCCAUAAUUAGUUAUAGGGACAUUACGAACCAUUACAAGACGGAGAGGCGCCGUUACCCUGAUCCUCACAAAUCGCUUAGCAGAGAACAGCAAACAAUCUACAGGCAGAUGCAAGCAGGAUCCUUCCCGCACCCUUACCUUCAAAACAAGAUGUACCCGGAAAGGUACGAGAAGGAAUGUAAUUUCUGCAAUAUUCAGUUAGGCACGCUCCAACACGUCAUUGGAGUAUGCGAUUUCGUCAAGGCAUUCCCCCCACCUCUUACCUGCCCCACUACCCUACCCCAUCCCUCAUCCACCCUUACCGAGCGAUGGGAGACCUUGCUGACCAGCACCGCCCUGGA